AGGACGAACGCUGGCGGCGUGCUUAACACAUGCAAGUCGAACGGUAAGGCCCUUCGGGGUACACGAGUGGCGAACGGGUGAGUAACACGUGGGUGACCUGCCUCGAGCUCUGGGAUAAGCCUGGGAAACUGGGUCUAAUACCGGAUAUGACCUCAUGUCGCAUGGUGUGGGGUGGAAAGUUUUUCGGCUCGAGAUGGGCCCGCGGCCUAUCAGCUUGUUGGUGGGGUGAUGGCCUACCAAGGCGACGACGGGUA
rnacentral:rRNA from 1 species